rnacentral:rRNA from 1 species
UACCAAGGCCCCUAGCGUAAUUCUGGAAUUAUUGGGCGUAAAGCGCCCGAAGGCGGAUUACGUAAGGUAAUUGGGAGAGCCCGCAGCUCAACUUUGGAUGUGCAAUUCAAACUACUUAGCUAGAGAUUAUCUCAGGAGAGCGGAUGACCUAGAGUAGAGGUGAAAUUCGUAAAUAUUAUGUAAAAAACCAGUUGCGAAGGCGGCUUUCUGCUAAAUAACUGACGCUGAGAUGCGAAAGUAUGGCUCGGGAAUAUCAUGAUAUACCCUCGUAGUCCAUACCGGAUACGAAGAUUGUUACAUGUUGGUAAUUUAUUUCUCGGACCGAAGCGAACGUCGUUGGAUUAACCACCAGGAGGGUACGCCGCGCGGUUGAACUCGAAGGAAUUGACGGCGAGCCGCACAAGCGGGGGAGCGAGUAGGUUAAUUCAAAGCUCCGAGCACAACCAUACCAACAUCGUUGACAUGUCUGUCGCGAAUUGUUUAGAUGGAUACCUUCGCCUCGGCCGAAGAGAACACAGGUGCUGCAUGGCUGUCGUCAGCUCGUGUCGUGAGAUGUUGGGUUAAGUCCCGCGACGAGCGCAACCCCUACUUCUAGUUGCCAUCAGGAUAAGCUGCGCGCUGUAGUAGGACCCCCUGUGAUAAGCAGGAGGAAGGACAGGGACGGCCUCAUGUCCUCAUGCCCCUUUCGCGGUGGGCCACACACGUCCCACAAUCGUAUAUACAACAUGAAUCAAGCCUAAGGGUUCAAUCAAAUCCUUAAAAGAUACCUCAAUUCGGAUAGCGCUUUGCAAUUCGAGUCCAUGAACCAGGAAUUCCUAGUAAUCGCGGUUCAUCAUACCGCGGUGAAUGCGUUCCCGGCUCU